GUGCAGCAGGCGAGAAUCUUCGGCAAUGGGCGCAAGCCUGACCGAGCGACGCCGCGUGCGGGAUGAAGGCCUUCGGGUUGUAAACCGCUGUCAGGAGGAAGGAAAUGCAUAGGGGUACUCUCCUAUGUUUGACCGAUCUCCAAAGGAAGUGCGGGCUAAGUACGUGCCAGCAGCCGCGGUAAUACGUACCGCACGAACGUUAUUCGGAAUCACUGGGCUUAAAGGGUGCGUAGGCGGCUUGGAAGGUGGGGUGUGAAAUCCCUCGGCUCAACCGAGUAACUGCGCUCCAAACCGCCAGGCUUGAGGGAGGCAGAGGUGAGCGGAACUGAUGGUGGAGCGGUGAAAUGCGUUGAUAUCAUCAGGAACACCAGUGGCGAAGGCGGCUCACUGGGCCUCUUCUGACGCUGAGGCACGAAAGCUAGGGUAGCGAACGGGAUUAGAUACCCCGGUAGUCC
rnacentral:rRNA from 1 species